AGUCAGAGAUUUUCGAUUAUAAAAUAACCAGAUGCGAUAGGUUUUCCACACAGUUGUUUUCCAGUCCUAGCUCACAGUUCGUUUUUCUGAAACUCGCGUGUGACAGCAGUACUUUGUGAAAUAUCUACACACGUACAAGUUCUUCUUCAGGUUUAUAGGCAGUUUGAUUGUAACCAUGGUUUCUCGCGUUUUCAUCGUAUGUACUAUUAUCUUUUUCUCGAUGAUCAUGAACAUGGAUGCAAAACUAGACAUUACCAACACGGAUUACGAAAAUAAAGGAGGAGCAAACGUAUGUAACGAUGAAUCUGAAAGCAAACUCAAUGCACUUUGUGCAGAACACUUCGGGACUGGAUGUACAGGAGAAUGUAAAAAAUGGUGGAUAAGAUUCGUAAUGAAUAAUUCAGAUAAGAAAAAAAUUUUAAUUUGCAAAAAUGGUGGUGCUAUACAGGGUUGCCUGUAUAAUAAAGACGGUACCGUUACAAAAACUGGUUAUUCUGCAGAGGAGGAGUGCUCGUAAAAUACACUAACACGAAAAAAACUGAUUUCCAUCCCCCAAGUAUUUUGAGAUAAUUUUUCAAGACAGCCUCGUAUAUCAUAUCUGCUAUUUUGAAGAGUCAUCUCAAAAUACCUAGCUGGUGGAAAUUGCUUCUCUUUGUAUCCUUUUGAAAAAUUUUAAGCUAAGUUUUAUUGUUAUUAUUUUUAUUCAAUUACCUACAUAUAUUCAUAAGUACGAAGUAGUUAAAUACAUAUAAGUAUAUUUAUUAUAAUCAAAUAUUUCCCCUAGGGCCACGUUUUGUUGUAGAUUAUUAAUUAAUUUUAUUUGUUUAAAUAUAUCUGUGUGUGCAAUGAA